GAUGAACGCUGGCGGCGUGCUUAACACAUGCAAGUCGAACGGAAAGGCUCCUGCUUGCAGGGGUACUCGAGUGGCGAACGGGUGAGUAACACGUGGGUGAUCUGCCCUGCACUUCGGGAUAAGCCUGGGAAACUGGGUCUAAUACCGGAUAGGACGAUGGUUUGGAUGCCAUUGUGGAAAGUUUUUCGGUGUGGGAUGAGCUCGCGGCCUAUCAGCUUGUUGGUGGGGUAAUGGCCUACCAAGGCGUCGACGGGUAGCCGGCCUGAGAGGGUGUACGGCCACAUUGGGACUGAGAUACGGCCCAGACUCCUACGGGAGGCAGCAGUGGAGAAUAUUGCACAAUGGGCGCAAGCCUGAUGCAGCGACGCCGCGUGGGGGAUGACGGCCUUCGGGUUGUAAACUCCUUUCGCUAGGGACGAAGCGCAAGUGACGGUACCUGGAGAAGAAGCACCGGCUAACUACGUG
rnacentral:rRNA from 1 species